rnacentral:tRNA from 1 species
GGCUUAUUAGUAUAAUUAAAGUAUUUUUGUUUUCCAAACAAAUGGUGUUUAAGCUU